rnacentral:rRNA from 1 species
ACGCUCGACACCUACGGGAAGCAGCAGUCGGGAAUAUUGCGCAAUGGAGGAAACUCUGACGCAGUGACGCCGCGUAUAGGAAGAAGGUUUUCGGAUUGUAAACUAUUGUCGUUAGGGAAGAGAAAGGACAGUACCUAAGGAGGAAGCUCCGGCUAACUACGUGCCAGCAGCCGCGGUAAUCUGAGCGGGCUGGCAAGGC